rnacentral:lncRNA from 1 species
CUCAAUCCUUUCAUUACAUGUUCAAGUUCUUUUACUUUCUGCUCAAACACACAAUUGCACAUUAAAUGUCAAAUUCAGAAUCGAUUUGCAUGUGCUUGUCUACAUAAGCAGGCACAAAAAGACAUGUUUAUGUUUCUUGCAUUUGCUGCGGCUUGUUGCGCUUCACAAAAUUGAGUUUCUAGUUGGCAAACUUUUUGACCAGAGACCCUUUCAGAAUUUAGAUGAAAUACUAGUAUCAUGUGUUUAAAUUUC